AUCACAUUGCAGACACAUCUUAUCGAGAGGCCACUCAUUCUUGCGAGCCAUCGACUGAAAACAGGAAAAUUUACACUAGAAAUUCAUACCAUGCUGUCACAUAAGACAUAGUUUAGGGAAGUGAGCGGUCAAGAAACUCUGUGGAUUGAACAAACCACCCAACCAAAAAGCUGCAGGCAGUUGGAAAUCAGCCGUCCAAUUCUCCAGUUCUUUGAUACGAAGCAAGAGAUCGGCAUACCUGCCAUCAAAAAUUAUAUUAUUACAAAUAUAUAAUUACAAACAUGGAUCAACUAUUUGAAUAAAGUGUAAAUUUACUUACCGUAAUCAAGAAAUUCAUCCUUUCACAUUCUUGGAAGGCAACAACAACAUAUGGAGUACGAUCUGCUGGUUCAACCUUACCCAUCAAUUCAACCAUGUUGAAUGUUUC